rnacentral:rRNA from 1 species
CGAGGAACCUUACCUGGGCUUAAAUGUAGAGUGCAUUGAGAGGAAACUUUCAGUUUUCUUCGGAACUCUUUACAAGGUGCUGCAUGGUUGUCGUCAGCUCGUGCCGUGAGGUGUCGGGUUAAGUCCCACUAACGAGCGCAACCCUUAUCGUUAGUUGCCAGCGGGUAAUGCCGGGAACUCUAGCGGAAACUGCCGGUGUAAACCGAGAGGAAGGUGGGGAUGACGUCAAAUCAGCACGGCCCUUAUGUCCAGGGCUACACACGUGUUACAAUGGCCGGUACAGAGGGCAGCUACCUGUUGACAGGAUGCGAAUCUCGAAAGCCGGUCUCAGUUCGGAUCGGAGUCUGCAACCCGACUCCGUGAAGCUGGAUUCGCUAGUAAUCGCGCAUCAGCCAUGGCGCGGUGAAUACGUUCCCGGGCCUU